AAAACAGAUCUUGAAUUAUUGCAGUGACAAAAACCAUAUGGAAAAGCACAACACGCCUCUGCAAUGCUGCAUAUAUAUAUAUAUAUAUAUAUGGUUGCUUUUUUUUUUAGUAAUAACUUAAAUCCCAAUUGAGUUUUACGACAAACAAUACCCUUCAUUGCUUUAGGUAUUCUACAAAUCCACAAAUGGUUUACAGAAGAAUUGAAAUUAUGGCUGUUUUCUUAGUGAUGACUCUUCUCAUUUCCUCACAAGUUGCAGACACUCGACACCUCAAUCGAGUCCCAUCUAAAGAAGGUGAGAAGGUUAUGGGAAGUGAUGCACGUUUUGAGUGCCCAAAUGGAUGUUGUGGUAUUUUCAGCCCUUAUUGCCGCUGCUGUCCUAAUCCCAACACCCACAAUCCAACCAAUCCACAUACUUGAUGUUUUAUUUUAUGUAAAAUUAAGAUGUUUUAAAAAUUUAAGUAAAGGAAAGUGAAGUCUAUGUAUUUCUAAAGGUUCGAUUUAUCUUUAAAUGAAUGAGUUGAUUUACUAUGGGCA